rnacentral:rRNA from 1 species
ACACUCCUACGGGAGGCAGCAGUGGGGAAUUUUGGACAAUGGGCGAAAGCCUGAUCCAGCCAUGCCGCGUGCAGGAUGAAGGCCUUCGGGUUGUAAACUGCUUUUGUACGGAACGAAACGGCCUUUUCUAAUAAAGAGGGCUAAUGACGGUACCGUAAGAAUAAGCACCGGCUAACUACGUGCCAGCAGCCGCGGUAAUACGUAGGGUGCAAGCGUUAAUCGGAAUUACUGGGCGUAAAGCGUGCGCAGGCGGUUAUGUAAGACAGUUGCGAAAUCCCCGGGCUCAACCUGGGAACUGCAUCUGUGACUGCAUAGCUAGAGUACGGUAGAGGGGGAUGGAAUUCCGCGUGUAGCAGUGAAAUGCGUAGAUAUGCGGAGGAACACCGAUGGCGAAGGCAAUCCCCUGGACCUGUACUGACGCUCAUGCACGAAAGCGUGGGGAGCAAACAGGAUUAGAAACCCUGGUAGUCCCA